CCUACGGGAGGCAGCAGUGGGGAAUCUUGCGCAAUGGGCGAAAGCCUGACGCAGCAACGCCGCGUGCGGGAAGAAGGCUUUCGGGCUGUAAACCGCUUUCAGCAGGAACGAAAAUGACGGUACCUGCAGAAGAAGGAGCGGCCAACUAUGUGCCAGCAGCCGCGGUGAUACAUAGGCUUCAAGCGUUGUCCGGAUUUAUUGGGCGUAAAGAGUUCGUAGGCGGUCGAGUAAGUCGGGUGUGAAAAUUCUGGGCUCAACCCAGAGACGCCACCCGAUACUGCUUGACUUGAGUUCGAUAGGGGAUGGGGAAUUCCUAGUGUAGCGGUGAAAUGCGCAGAUAUUAGGAGGAACACCGGUGGCGAAGGCGCCACUCUGGAUCGAUACUGACGCUGAGGAACGAAAGCAUGGGUAGCAAACAGGAUUAGAUACCCUGGUAGUCCAUGCCGUAAACGGUGGGCACUAGGUNUGGGUUUCUAUUAACGAAAUCCGCGCCGUCGCUAACGCAUUAAGUGCCCCGCUGGGGNGUACGGUCGCAGACAACACAAGAAGUAGACGCGNGAGACGUGCGAGACGACGACGAGGAGAG
rnacentral:rRNA from 1 species